rnacentral:misc_RNA from 1 species
AGAUGAUGGAGAAUACCCAGGAGCAGUAGGUGAGUAUCCUGCACUCGGACUGUAUUGUGGAGAACUGGAGCUAUAAUCAGGGCUGGGUCCUGUAUUAUAUGGACUGCUAGGACUGUAGGUCGGGCUUGAUGGAGAAUAUGCUGGAGAAGUAGGUGAAUAUGAUGGUGACGUAGGGCUGUAGUUUGGCGAGGUCGGGCUAUAUGGACUUGAAGGAGACAACCGUGGACUACUGGGUGAGUAUGCCUGUGAUGGGCUGUAUUUAGCUGAUUGAGGAUUAUAACUAGGUGAUGUGGGACUAUAGCUAGGAGAAGUGGGGCUAUAGCUCGGUGAUGUGGGACUAUAGCCAGGGGAGGUGGGGCUAUAUGCUGGAGAGGUGGGGCUGUACGAGGGUGAUGUAGGACUGUAAGAGGGAGAUGUUGGGCUGUAGGAAGGAGACGUGGGACUAUAAGAAGGUGAUGUUGGGCUGUAGGAGGGUGAAGUUGGGCUGUAGGCAGGGGAAGUGGGACUGUAAGCAGGGGAAGUGGGACUGUAAGCAGGGGAAGUGGGACUGUAA